UACAAAGGGGGCUAGCGUUGUUCGGAAUUACUGGGCGUAAAGCGCACGUAGGCGGAUAUUUAAGUCAGGGGUGAAAUCCCAGAGCUCAACUCUGGAACUGCCUUUGAUACUGGGUAUCUUGAGUAUGGAAGAGGUAAGUGGAAUUGCGAGUGUAGAGGUGAAAUUCGUAGAUAUUCGCAGGAACACCAGUGGCGAAGGCGGCUUACUGGUCCAUAACUGACGCUGAGGUGCGAAAGCGUGGGGAGCAAACAGG
rnacentral:rRNA from 1 species